rnacentral:rRNA from 1 species
GUUAUAGUUUAUUUGAUGGUCUUUACUACAUGGAUAACCGUGGUAAUUCUAUGGCUAAUACAUGCGCACAUGCCUCUUCCCCUGGAAGGGCAGUGUUUAUUAGAUACAGAACCAACCCACCUUCCGGUGGUCCUCAGGUGAUUCAUAGUAACCGAACGGAUCGCGUUGACUUCGGUCUGCGACGGAUCAUUCAAGUUUCUGACCUAUCAGCUUUCGACGGUACUGUAUUGG